rnacentral:rRNA from 1 species
UACGAAGGGGGCUAGCGUUGCUCGGAAUCACUGGGCGUAAAGCGCACGUAGGCGGCUUCUUAAGUCAGGGGUGAAAUCCUGGAGCUCAACUCCAGAACUGCCUUUGACACUGGGGAGCUAGAGUCCGGGAGAGGUGAGUGGAACUGCGAGUGUAGAGGUGAAAUUCGUAGAUAUUCGCAAGAACACCAGUGGCGAAGGCGGCUCACUGGCCCGAUACUGACGCUGAGGCACGAAAGCGUGGGAGCAAACAGG